UCAGAGGUCACUGGUUCAGCACUGAGGUCAGAGGUCACUGGUUCAGCACUGAGGUCAGAGGUCACUGGUUCAGCACUGAGGUCAGAGGUCACUGGUUCAGCACUGGGGUCAGAGGUCACUGGUUCAGCACUGGGGUCAGAGGUCACUGGUU